UUGUAUAAUGGGUCAGCGACUUAUAUUCUGUAGCAAGGUUAACCGUAUAGGGGAGCCGGAGGGAAACCGAGUCUUAAUUGGGCGUUAAGUUGCAGGGUAUAGACCCGAAACCCGGUGAUCUAGCCAUGGGCAGGUUGAAGGUUGGGUAACACUAACUGGAGGACCGAACCGACUAAUGUUGAAAAAUUAGCGGAUGACCUGUGGCUGGGGGUGAAAGGCCAAUCAAACCGGGAGAUAGCUGGUUCUCCCCGAAAGCUAUUUAGGUAGCGCCUCGUGAAUUCAUCUCCGGGGGUAGAGCACUGUUUCGGCUAGGGGGCCAUCCCGGCUUACCAACCCGAUGCAAACUGCGAAUACCGGAGAAUGUUAUCACGGGAGACACACGGCGGGUGCUAACGUCCGUCGUGAAGAGGGAAACAACCCAGACCGCCAGCUAAGGUCCCAAAGUCAUGGUUAAGUGGGAAACGAUGUGGGAAGGCCCAGACAGCCAGGAUGUUGGCUUAGAAGCAGCCAUCAUUUAAAGAAAGCGUAAUAGCUCACUGGUCGAGUCGGCCUGCGCGGAAGAUGUAACGGGGCUAAACCAUGCACCGAAGCUGCGGCAGCGAACGUAUCACCCAAGACAACUUUACGGAGUUGACGAUUGACGGAGCGAAGCGACGUCAAAGCGUUCAUUAAAGUCGAGUUGGCUUAGGGAUACGUUCGUUGGGUAGGGGAGCGUUCUGUAAGCCUGUGAAGGUGUGUCGUGAGGCAUGCUGGAGGUAUCAGAAGUGCGAAUGCUGACAUAAGUAACGAUAAAGCGGGUGAAAAGCCCGCUCGCCGGAAGACCAAGGGUUCCUGUCCAACGUUAAUCGGGGCAGGGUGAGUCGACCCCUAAGGCGAGGCCGAAAGGCGUAGUCGAUGGGAAACGGGUUAAUAUUCCCGUACUUGGUGUUACUGCGAAGGGGGGACGGAGAAGGCUAUGUUGGCCGGGCGACGGUUGUCCCGGUUUAAGCGUGUAGGUGUGUGUUCCAGGUAAAUCCGGUUCACUUUAACACUGAGGCGUGACGACGAGGCACUACGGUGCUGA
rnacentral:rRNA from 1 species